AGCAAUAUCCAAUUAGCCAAUUAGAUAAGAAUCAUUGAAUUUCUGCAUUUUCUGAUUGUACCACGAUCGCUGGUAUAAAAGCCGAUACAUUCGGUGUACUCAGUAUCAGUAUUGUUCAGUGUUUCGACACCAAAACCGGAUAUUAUCGAAAAUGAAACUCGCUGCUGUUAUUUUAUUGGCCUUCGUCAGUUGCAUCUCUGCACAAUUAUGGCGUGGAGAAGAUUUCUCUCACACUGAUGGUCGCCCAGGAUGUCAACUCCCCAUCGAAAGCCAACAGAAGUGGCGAAACAACUUUGACAAUGUGAGAUAUUGGGUGUGCACAAAUGGCCAAGCCGUUUCAUACAUUUGCCCCACUGAAUACUUGUUCGACUUCGACCGACAAUGUUGCAUUCGUUGGAAUUUCUGGGUAUGGACACCACCAUUCGAUCCACCAACUCUUGGUUAGAUUCAUUUAGAUUGGCAGCUUUUAAAAACGGUUUAUAUUGGUGAUGUCAACAGAAUUUGAAAUAAAAAUGUUUCAAUUGUGCAAUAA